rnacentral:rRNA from 1 species
UAGGGAAUCUUCGGCAAUGGACGAAAGUCUGACCGAGCAACGCCGCGUGAGUGAAGAAGGUUUUCGGAUCGUAAAACCCCGUUGUUAGAGAAGAACAAGGACGAUAGUAACUGAACGUCCCCUGACGGUAUCUAACCAGAAAGCCACGGCUAACUACGUGUCAGCAGCCGCGGUAAUACGUAGGUGGCAAGCGUUGUCAGUAUUUAUUGGGCGUAAAGCGAGCGCAGGUGGUUUCUUAAGUCUGAUGUGAAAGCCCCCGGCUCAACCGGGGAGGGUCAUUGGAAACUGGGAGACUUGAGUGCAGAAGAGGAGAGUGGAAUUCCAUGUGUAGCGGUGAAAUCCGUAGAUAUAUGGAGGAACACCAGUGGAGAUGGCGGCUCUCUGGUCUAUAACUGACACUGAGGCUCAAAAGCGUGGGGGGCAAACGGG